rnacentral:tRNA from 1 species
UCCCUGGUGGUCCAGUGGCUAAGAUUCUGCACUCCCAGUGCAGGGGACCUGGGUUCACUUCCUGGUCAGGGAA